CUCUAUACCUGCCACUUUUGCUCAUUGGCUAGUGCUCUACCAACUGAGCCAAACCUUCUAGCCCCUGUCUUCAUGUCAUUCAAAGUGAACCCCGAGGUACAGCCCUGAAGCAUAGAAGUAAACAAGUUUGCUUGGAAUUAAGAAAACCAACUUUGGAAAUCAUCUACGGAGUCUUAGGAACUCACCCGCAGCUUCAUAUUGAGCAUGAAACAAUUCAAAAUCUUAUUUCAGCAUCUAAGUCUG